AACCCGCGGCGUCUUUCGAGCUCGUAUCUGAACCUCGCCUCAAUUCUAGCGUUUAGGCGAUCGGAACAGGUUGCAUGGCCCGGUCUAGUGGUUGUAGUCGCCGGUCGAAGCGUGGAAGGUCCGGCCAUCAGUUGCCACUGUUGGCUUCUCCGUCAGCAUCGCGGCCAUUCAAACAGCGGACCCGUCUCCGGCUUACCAGCUCCCGUUCGAACGGCGGUCAUCACGGUGGGUUCGACUGGGCGGCGUCGGGGGUAGCGUCCAGAGUGGCAGCACGGAGGAUGGUGGCGCGGCGAUUGGGGCAGAAAGGAAUGAGGUGUUGUUCCAAUAUGCCAAUUGAACGGUGAGGUGGGCUCAGUUCCAAACGUUAAGGCAGGUGGUGAAAGAGGUCGGCAGAUCUGAACCGCCUAUUUCUACCCACUAGCAUGGCAAUUGGGAUGGUGGUUGGCAUUUCAUCCAGUAAUGAGGACAGGGUGGCUUGGUUUGAGAAGCGUAUGGAUGGGCUGUUGCAGAAUUUAGGUCAUGAAGGGACAGUCACAAUAGAUUUGGUAACCUUUGUAACUCUCUGGAUUAAUUGGCCCACCCACUAACGCAUAUGGUCUGACCCCUAAAUUGGUAUCGCCUCGCAAUUCAUUGUCCCGAUAUAUGAUAAUGGCACCUAUUACAUGAUGGGGGUAAGUUUCAAGCAUGGUCGGUUUGACAUUAUCGACAGCUCCUCUAUAAAGAAGUCCAACAGAGCCAACAAAAGAUAUGUGCGGUAGGGCACCGGAGGAGUUGGUCAUCUGCCUCGCUGCAUACCUGGACACCAAGCUCCAAGCACUAAGGGUUGCACGGCUAAGAAUCAUGAAACCAAAAAGAAUGCAGAUGCCGUGGAGAGACACCACUUAUACUUCUGAUUCUGGGAUUUUCACGAUGCGGCACAUGGAGGCAUACACGGGGCAGGAUUGCGCAAACUGGAAUACUGGGUUGCAACGGGGGAAUGCAAUGCAGCUAGUGAACCUACGCAAGGGGUACAUGCACAACAUCCUACUGAGCACCGUCAAUAGUCAUUCGCACAGCAUUGCCGUGCGGGUCCAGGAGUUUGAACGUCAAAGAUUAGUGCAAAUGCACCAACAAUCUGGGCACCCAUCACAGUAAUGUAGUCUCACUCCCGACGCACUUAGCCAAACAAUAAGUUCCCCAUGAAAUUCACUGCCAAGCCCCUGUGUUCUUUUCGUGUUCGGGGGCUAUGCUGUAGAAACUCAAGAGAUGUAGGGAGUUUGGGUUAGAAAUUGCGUAGUUCAAUUUUGUGAUUAGGGAAAAAAUAGUGUUUUUUUUUUUUUUUGAACGAUUAGCCAGUGCAUGGGUACCGAGGUACAACACCGAAGUGCAACAUCAAUAAUUUGCAGUUGCACUUGGAAUGUGCGGUUUGCUUUUUAAAGGUGUCAUAUAUUAGAGUCCUGAUAGUAGGAUGCAAGGCAGAUAAGGAUGUGCACAUAUGGAUGACUCAAAGUUAUGGUUUUUUUUUUUUUUUUUUUUUUUUUUGGUCUGAAAUAUCUAUGGCUCAAAUUUAUGGUUG